rnacentral:rRNA from 1 species
GAGAUAACUACUACAGAGCUUGGUUGAUUUUUCGAGGCAGAGAAAAAAAGAGCGCUUGGUUGUUCUGGAAGAUUAGACAUGGCCUCGAAUGCUAAGGCACGUGGUGUGCUUGUGUGUAUCCAAAUCAUGCUACUAAUCUCCGUGCUGACUAUAGGCAGCGGCCGCACCUGCGAAGGCUGGCGAAUUCUGCUUCCAUUCAUUGGCGAGGAGAAGCCACCCAUAGCACUUAAACCUUCUCCUAAAGCAGAUGGCCUGUGCGAUCCAUUUCCCGACUGCCACACUAAGGGUUACCCCUGUUGCCAUUCUCUGAAACCGACGCCUUAAGCAACAGCACUGAAGAUGACCGAUACUGGAUCGAGAUGAAUGCACCUCCGUAUGUUGAUAUAUAGUAUCACCAGUAGUAAACAAAGGUUAUAAUGAUAGUAAUACAAAUUGGAGUUGCACUAUCAAUUCGAGCUCCUAUAUAUUUUGUGGGAUUUUCUAUAGAUAAAGCCGGACUGCUAUUGAAUAAGAUACUCCCCAGGCACUCUCUGAACUGGCCAAACUUAUAAGGCACGUUUCGAAUUUUUAUAUGGCAUGUAUUUGCAGGGUUUUUUUUUACGUAUUAAGCACGGCCAAAGCUCCACCACAUAUGUACUUGUUGCUUGAUACAUAUGGAAGCUGUUCCCUGAUCUAUAUUUAGGUAUAAAUAAAUAUACAAGACUAUUACAC